GACAGAGGGUGCAAACGUUGCUCGGAAUUACUGGGCGUAAAGCGCGUGUAGGCGGACCGUUGUGUCAGGCGUGAAAGCCCUGGGCUCAACCCAGGAAGUGCACUCGAAACUGGCGGGCUAGAGUAUCGGAGAGGUUGGUGGAAUUCUCGGUGUAGAGGUGAAAUUCGUAGAUAUCGAGAGGAACACCGGUGGCGAAGGCGGCCAACUGGACGAAUACUGACGCUGAGACACGAAAGCGUGGGGAGCAAACAGG
rnacentral:rRNA from 1 species